GACGAACGCUGGCGGCGUGCCUAAUACAUGCAAGUCGAGCGGACGAAUCGAAAGCUUGCUUUUGAUUCGUUAGCGGCGGACGGGUGAGUAACACGUGGGCAACCUGCCCUGUAGACGGGGAUAACACCGAGAAAUCGGUGCUAAUACCGGAUAACACGAAAUGUCGCAUGACGUUUCGUUGAAAGACGGCGCAAGCUGUCGCUACAGGAUGGGCCCGCGGCGCAUUAGCUAGUUGGUGAGGUAACGGCUCACCAAGGCGACGAUGCGUAGCCGACCUGAGAGGGUGAUCGGCCACACUGGGACUGAGACACGGCCCAGACUCCUACGGGAGGCAGCAGUAGGGAAUCUUCCGCAAUGGACGAAAGUCUGACGGAGCAACGCCGCGUGAGCGAAGAAGGCCUUCGGGUCGUAAAGCUCUGUUGUUAGGGAAGAACAAGUAACGCAGUAACUGGCGUUACCGUGACGGUACCUAACGAGAAAGCCACGGCUAACUACGUGCCAGCAGCCGCGGUAACAC
rnacentral:rRNA from 1 species